rnacentral:RNase_P_RNA from 1 species
AGCGCAGACCGCCUUAUCGCCGCUCCAAUUUUAUUGGAGGGGAGGAAAGUCCGGACACCACAGAGAAGCAUAGCGGGUAACGCCCGUCGGUCCCGAUAGCUAUCGGGAUUAGGACAAGUGCAGCAGAAAGUAUGUACAGGUAAUGCUGUAGUGAAACCAGGUAAACUCUAUGCGGUGAAAUACCAAGUAUAUCAACAUUUAAGGGCUUCUCGUUCGUUGUUGAAGGGUAGGUAGCUCGAGUUCCGAAGUAAUUCGGAAUCUAGAUAAAUGAUAAGGCCUUGAUUUAUCAAGGACAGAAUCCGGCUUAUAGGUCUGCUUUUUUU